rnacentral:misc_RNA from 1 species
GAAGAAUCCGUAGACAUAUUCCGAAAACCCAAAAAGGGUUUACCGAUAGUGGGAUGGUGAAGCCGGUGGAAGGCGGCAGAAGUCAUUCUAGGACUGGGAGGAAGUGGGUGUUUGUAAAACCCUAUGGGAUGAGAAAGAGGUAAAGAAAGAAGGGGAUUAAGGGAUAGAACUGGAGGCGGUAACGAUGGGUUUCUGCUUAACAGUUUCUGCAUACCUUUGGUGCAUUUCAC